rnacentral:rRNA from 1 species
GGGUGGUAAUGCCGGAUGCUCCAGUUGAUCGCAUGGUCUUCUGGGAAAGCCUUUGCGGCAUGGGAUGGGGUCGCGUCCUAUCAGCUUGAUGGCGGGGUAACGGCCCACCAUGGCUUCGACGGGUAGCCGGCCUGAGAGGGCGACCGGCCACAUUGGGACUGAGAUACGGCCCAGACUCCUACGGGAGGCAGCAGUGGGGAAUAUUGCACAAUGGGCGCAAGCCUGAUGCAGCGACGCCGCGUGAGGGAUGGAGGCCUUCGGGUUGUAAACCUCUUUUGUUAGGGAGCAAGGCAUUUUGUGUUGAGUGUACCUUUCGAAUAAGCACCGGCUAACUACGUGCCAGCAGCCGCGGUAAUACGUAGGGUGCAAGCGUUAUCCGGAAUUAUUGGGCGUAAAGGGCUCGUAGGCGGUUCGUCGCGUCCGGUGUGAAAGUCCAUCGCUUAACGGUGGAUCCGCGCCGGGUACGGGCGGGCUUGAGUGCGGUAGGGGAGACUGGAAUUCCCGGUGUAACGGUGGAAUGUGUAGAUAUCG